rnacentral:rRNA from 1 species
AGAGUUUGAUCCUAGCUCAGGACGAACGUUGGCGGCGUGUCUAAGGCAUGCAAGUUGAGGGAUCGGCCCUAUUUUUCUUCGGAAAGCUUGGGUACGGACCGGCAAACGGGUGAGUAACACACUAGUAACCUACCUCUAAGACAGGGAUAGCCCAUCGAAAGAUGGAUUAAUACCUGAUAGUCACUCAAUAUCGUAUGGUAUCGAGUGUAAACCUUUUGGGCUUAGAGAGGGGCUUAUGGCUGAUUAGCUUGUUGGUAGGGUAAUAGCCUACCAAGGCUUUGAUCAGUAGCAGGCGUGAGAUCGUGACCUGCCUCACUGGGACUGAGACACUGCCCAGACUCCUACGGGAGGCUGCAGUCAAGAAUAUUCCGCAAUGCACGAAAGUGUGACGGUGCGACGCCGCGUGCAGGAAGACGCCCCGCGGGGUGUAAACUGCUUUUCUAAGGGAAGAAUUUGAGACGGUACCUUAGGAAUAAGAGGGGGCUAACUCUGUGCCAGAAGCCUCGGUAAUACAGAGCCCUCAAACGUUGUCCGGAAUCAUUGGGCGUAAAGGGUCCGCAGGUGGUUUAGUAAGUUACUAGUUAAAUCCUGAAGCUUAACUUCAGGACUGCUAGUAAGACUGCUAGACUUGAGGCUGGGAGAGGCGAGCGGAACAAUGGGUGUAGUCGUAAUAAGCGCUGAUAUCCAUUGGAACACCAAAGGCGAAGGCAGCUCGCUAGAACAAGCCUGACACUCAGGGACUAAAGCGUGGGUAGCGAAUGGGAUUAGAUACCCCAGUAGUCCACGCCCUAAACGAUGUGUACUAGGUAUUGGAAGUAUCGACCCUUUCAGUGCCGCUCAAAAAAAGCUAACGCGUUAAGUACGCCGCCUGGGGAGUACGGCCGCAAGGCUAAAACUCAAAGGAAUAGACGGGGACCCGCACAAGCGGUGGAUCAUGUGGUUUAAUUCGACGAUACGCGAAGAACCUCACCUGGGUUUGAAAUCUAGCUGCAAGCUUGGUGAAAACCGAGCCGCCUUCGAGGGUGCUAGACAGGUGCUGCAUGGUUGCCGUCAGCUCGUGCUGUGAGGUGUACCGUUAAGUCGGGUAACGAGCGCAACCCCUAUUGUGUGUUAAAUGUACACGCAAGACUGCCGGCGCAAGCCGGAGGAAGGUGGGGACGACGUCAAAUCAGCAUGGCUCUUACACCCAGGGCCACACGCAUGAUACAAUGGCAAGUACAAUAGGUUGCCAAGGCGCAAGCC